GAUGAACGCUGACAGCAUGCUUAACACAUGCAAGUCAACUGUGGCGGACGGGUGAGUCACGCGUAAAGAACUUGCCUCACAGCUAGGGACAACAUUUGGAAACGAAUGCUAAUACCUGAUACUGUGAGAGAGCUUUGCGUCCCAUUAGCUAGUUGGAGAGGUAACGGCUCACCAAGGCGAUGAUGGGUAGCCGGCCUGAGUGGGUGAUCGGCCACAAGGGGACUGAGACACGGCCCUUACUCCGACGGGAGGCAGCAGUGGGGAAGAUUGGACAAGGGACCAAAGUCUGAUCCAGCAAUUCUGUGUGCACGAUGAAUUUUUCGGAAUGUAAAGUGCUUUCAGUUGGGAAGCGGUACCAACAGAAGAAGUGACGGCUAAAUACGUGCCAGCCGCCGCGGUAAUAC
rnacentral:rRNA from 1 species